rnacentral:rRNA from 1 species
AUGUCUUUUCCUUAUGCUGGGUCCACUGUUACAUUGCAAGGGGAUACUCCAGUAGAAUUUGUUUACACCAUUAUUGAGUUGUCCCUGAUAACAGAAGAAAAUGCCAAAACUGUUAUUCCAGAGAUUCAGGCAGUAAUUGACAAGUACCAGGAUGUGUUCUCUGUGCCUGUGGGUCUGCCACCAGAGAGAGCUUGUGACCAUUCCAUUCCCCUCAUUCCUGGAGCUAGGGCUUUUUCUCUCAGACCCUACAUACUUGCUCCUGAACUUAAAGAUGUGGUGGAAAAGCAGAUCCAAGAGAUGUUGGACUCUGGUGUUAUCAGGAGGAGCAGCAACCCAUUUUCUUCCCCAAUUCUGCUGGUGAAAAAGAAAGAUCAUACUUUUUUUUUUUGA